rnacentral:lncRNA from 1 species
CGCCCUCCAACCUGUCGGAGUUCUGGGAGGAGAACAGCGAGGCGCCAUCGCCCGCAUCCCUGCGGCACACCACCGGCGGCGGUGAUGGCGCCACCAGCAACCUGGGCGCCGAGGGCGUCGGCGGCCACAGCGGCGGGGGCGGCGGCGGCGGGCCGCGGAUGCUGUUGUGGCGCGGCAACAGCGGCCUGGCGCUGUCGGAUGCGCAGGGGGCGUCGGCGCAUGAUGGCACCUGCGCGCACCCUCCCGAGCCCGGCAGCGUGGCGGUCACAACAUCGGGAUCUGGGCCUGGGCCGCACCUGGGUGCCGCCGCCGACAGCCACAACGUCAGUGGGGGCAACGGCACCGGUGGAGGUCCCACCUCGCGCCGCCUUAGCAUGGAGGCCGCUGAAGGCGCUGGCGGUCGGUCAGUUGAGGGCACUGCGCCCGCUGCCGCUUCAGCACAUCCGCUGGUGGAGGGCGACGGGGCCAGCGACAGCGUGGCAGCCAGCGCCACAUCCGGCACUGGUGACGCGGAGCAGCAGCUGCCUACGCUGUCGUACCUGGCCCUGCCUGGCAGCCUUGCCGACAUACGCAAGGCGGUGGAGGCGGCGCGGCAGGCCGCAGCCAGCGACGGCGCAGCCGGCCAGGGUGCCAAGCCAGUGGCGCUAGCUGACGCCAUGGCGGCGGCGGCGGCGGCCGCCAAUGGUCGCGGCGCUGGCGGCCGCGGCGCCGGCGGCAUGUUCGCCGGCUCGCCGCCGCUUCCCUUCGGCGAGGCCGGCGGCUCCCCGGGGCCCGGCGGCGGACCCAGCAGCGCUGCGUCUCUAGCCAUGUCGGACCUGAGCAUGUUGGGGGUGAUGCGCGGUGGCACCGCCUCCGGCGCGACGCCGGCGCCUCGCCACGGCGACGACGUGCUCGGCCCUGAGGGGCUGGUGGGCGCAGGUGGCGUGGGCGCGGGUGGCGGCGGCGGUGGUGAUGGCUCUGUGGUUGGCAGCAGCGCGCGGAACCAUCGUGGCAGCGACGGCGGGAACUCGCUGUCAGGGCUGGGUGGGCCCGGCGGCAGCAUGGACGGCACGCAGGCCUCGGCCUCGGCGUUCCUCUGCAGCGUGCUGACGUCGCCUGAUGUGGCGAUGGGGCGCGGCAGCGCUGGCGCGGCGGGGCCGCCGCUGCUGAUGCGGCACGAGUCCGGCAUGUCCGGGGCGUCAGAGCUGAGUCUGCUGCCGGCCCGGGGGGGCAGCAGCGUCAGCAGCGGUCUGGCGACGCCCAUGCUACCCAACGGCGACGCCGCGGCAGCGGCGGGCCGGGGUGGCGGCUCGGGGGCGGGCGGCCCGCUGCCGCCGCGGCCGCGGACGGCGCUCACGCAGUCGCAGUCGCUGCCGCGGACAGGCUCAACGCCCCGCGACCACCCCACCCUGGAGCAGCGUCAGUCCCUUCCCCGGCAUGAUGCCGCGGCAUCAGCAGCAGCUGCAGCGGUAGCGGCGACGGCGGCGACCGCUCAGCGGGCGCUAGCUGGCUCGCCGCGUGCUGCACCGGCGGCUUCGCCUGCCGCGGCCACGCCCACGGCCACACCCAGUCAGCCACAAGGCCAGGCUGCGGGCGUCGGCACGGGCUACCCACACCAGCACCCACACCACGGCGGCACGCGCCUUCACCACGCGGUGCUUGCGCUGGCACACGCGCAGGCGCGCGAAGCCGCCACGCCCAGCCCCACGGCGGCCGCCGGCCUCAGCACCGGUGGCGCUGCUGGCAUCGGGCUCAGCGACUUCCUGCGUGUGCCCUCCACCGGCAGCCCGGCCGACUCCUUCAGCACCGGUACGCCUGGGGGCGGCGGCCUAGCCUCGGAGUUCCUGGUCACGCCGCGCUCUGGCGCCACCACCGCCAGGUCGGGUGCCGGCAGCAGCGCGGCCAUGGCGGGACCCACACGUUCGCUGCUGGACCAGCUCACGACGGCAGCGGCGGCGGAGUCGAGCCCAGUGAGCUCGCCGGCGCACGGCAGCGCUUCGGCGGCGCUGGGGCCGCAUGGUUCGCCGAUGCCGGUGCGGCUUCCGGCAGCGGCUGGGGCAGCCGGGGCAGCCGGCGUACAUGUGCCGCCCAUCACUCCCGCGAAGGAGGCGUGGGCGCCGGCGAUCACACCAGCAGGGCCUCGGGCGGAGGGCGCUGCGGCCGCGGCUGCGGCCGGCUUGGGCGUGGCAGCUCAGGCAACAGCAGCAACAACGGCAGCAGCAGCAGCAGCAGCUGAGGGCACUAGCGCAGAGCGUUGGGCAGAGGCAGUGGGCGUGGCACCGCAGCCGCAGCACCCUGCCUCCGGCGCCCUUGCUGACGGCGGUGCCGAGGCCGCACCGGCUUCCACGCCCAGCCCGCGGCGUGUGGUGUCCGCGACCUCGCUGCGUGUCAGCCCCGUGCCGCCGAGCAGCACGCCGCCGAGGGUGCCCGCGACCUCGGGCACGGGCCACACGCCGCCGUCUGCAACCCGCAUCCCACACAUGCCCGGCCCUGGCAGCCUGGCGGCGGUGGGCAGCCCGCCACUGCCGCCGUCCGGCCGCCGGCGCAUCAGCGGACCGGGCGGCUCGCCGGGAGCCAGCGCCUACCAGUCGCCCCCCACAGGCGGUCUCAUACGCGCAUCGCGGGCAGGCGUUCCACCACACCCCACGCACGCGCACGUGCCGCCAGCAGGCGCAAGCACGGGUGUGUCGGCGUCGCCAGUGGCGGCUGUGCUGGCCGCGGGCGGGCUGGGCGUCUCGGCGUCGUCUCGUAUGCGCCGCAGUCACGAGGGCGAGAAGGGCAAGGGCAGCCUUCAUGGCAGUCGCGACCUCAGCGGUGGCGGCCACAACCCAUUGUACAACCCGCCCGCGGCGCCGGGCUCGCCGGGCCCCGGCGGCGCUGGUCGGGGCGUUGCGGCAGCGACCAAGUCCACGUCGUUCAAUAGAGUCUCGGCGACUGGGAGCAAUAAGCCCACAUGGCACUGAUGCACAGGGUUGAGCACUUCACGCUGAUUGAUCAUGGCAUCGGGAUUCAUGCGCGGGCGGCGUGCGCACGUGCGUGCGCGGGCAAGGGCGACAAACGCACCGGUAGCAUGAGGGGGGUGGAUCGAUGGAGUGGUCACAACUAGGGACAGGCGUGGGUUGCAUUGUCUCCUACCGUGGCAUGUGUGCGGCGGAAGGUCGCGCAUGGCUUUGGCUGAACUGUUGAUUCCGCGAGCAACUGCUGGCAGUAGGCUUGUUCGGCGUGCGUUCUAGGCCCGCUCAUAGGCCGGCAGCCUGGCACGUCUUCGCGUUCUGGGAUGACUGAAAGGUGGAAAAGAAGGCGCCGCCACCGGCAAGGAGAAUGCUUACAGGUGUCGCAUACAAACAGAAUGAGGUACAUACUCUUGCACAAAUAUAGUAGUACGUGACGUGACUCGUCUGUGUUCACUGUCGUUUCGUUAACUGCGGGGGCGGCUGGGAACGAGCGGGUAGGACUAAGCAGAGCAGGCGUAAGACGAUGUGCACGGGCCCAGCCAGCGAUGCCCAGGUUGACACGCGUCUCAACGGGCAGAACCUGACGCCAGAGAAACACACUGCAUCUGCUACUAUGACGCCUCAGUCACUGUCGCUAAUGAUCAGCACCUCCUUAGCCUGCUUCGCCUUCUCCUCCUCCGCCAGCUGCUGCUUCGUCGCGCUCCUUGAUCGCACGCAGCAUGUUGCACUUGAUUGUGCCUGUGCUUUUAUACUGCGUGGUCACGUAGCUCCCGGCUGAGGCCGGGAGUCGGUGUAACGCUUGGGGCGCGCUGGGCGCUCACAACAGGCGCGGCCAUAGUAUGUCACGCUCUCCUGUGUGCUGGUGUAGCUGUGAAUAUCUAUAUAUGCAGUGCGCCAUGCCUCUGCCCACCGCUUCACUGCCUCGCCGCCUCACUGCCUCGUACAUGAUGGCAGCAGCACGUUGACAUGACCUGCCACCCGAGGAGUGGCGUGUGUGUUUCGGCCGUGCUUCCCAGUUUAUGGGUACUGCAAUUUUAACGCAAGGCUGCACCGCAACGACCUUCCGAGUUUCCGUUUCUCAGCUUCCGACUAAGCUCCAUCCACUUCACGGCCGCAGGGAUGCCAACUGACAUUGUGGCCCUUCGAGUGUCCAUGACGAAUGUCGCCGUCUACGAUCUUCAGCUCAGCAAUAUAGUACUGCUGUGUGUUUAAAUGCCCUCAGCCGCUUGUGGGACUCGGUAUGUCGUGGACAUGCUAGUUCAUGCGCACGUACACGCCCGGGCGCACGUGUCAGCACCUGAGCAAACCAUUGGCUUGUGAGAUGCUCAAGGCGUAUAUCACAGCUCGGGCGCUGGAAACCGGAGGCGAGCGCUAACUGUCGCAACUCGUGAGCUCGUAUACUCUUCGCCAACACACUUUCUGUAGCUGCCGCGUCUUCUCGUAGAGCACUCUGAGGAUAUAAAAUGAGUGGCCGCUUGAAAGUCUACAAAAGAGCAGAGCGAAGCUUGCCUCUCACUUCAGGGCCCUGCUGCAGCAGUAACCUGGCCACUAGCAUUAACCAAGUCAGUCACUUUUGUUAAAAAGCAAAUAGAAAGCUUCCAGCUCCCACUCAGCUCAGUCGCGUGCAAAUAUGCCACCUCACAACCGUGUUCUGGUCGCGCUUGCCGUCCUCCUUGUUUCUGGUGCCUAUGCUCAGCCUGGUCGCGGUGGUGGAGGUGGUGGCCCCGGUGGCCUCGGGGGCCCCGGCGGCCCGGGUGGCCCAGGAGGGCAGGGUGGGCAGGGCGGGCAGGGUGGCGGGCCCGGAGGCCUGAUGCCGGGCGGCAGCCCUGGCGAUAUAAUGCCCAGCGGUGGCGGAGGCGGAGGCGGUGGCGGCAACAACGCGGCCUGCCCAAACACCACCUCGGGCGUGGACACGGUGGAGGUGGCACGCAACUCUGACACGUACAAGAUGGUGAGGACAGGGGUGCAGGAUUGUGAGGAUUGUUGUUGGGGGACAGGGGCGUGUGCGGUCGUCGCCAGGCUUCGUCUGAGGAGGAUUGGGAACGGACGGGGGUACGGAAUCAUGGGAGUAGGCUGUGUCCACAAGAAAUGCGGAUAUGCUCUCCUACGGCACCCCGUUUUUCCCGCGCUCGCUCUAGCGGCCCCAGCCCAGGGGCACCCCUGGCCUACGCCCAUGUUUGCCCUAACCACCGGCCAUCCCUCCUGCAUAUGGGCGCUGCUAACGGCCCCCACUUGCCCUGCCUCCCCUCCCCGCGCAGUUCUUCAGCGGCUGCCCCCAGUACUCGCCCUUCGGCCAGACCACAUCCAACACCCCCAGCUUCCAGAACACCUCCGUCACCUUCCGCGUGGCCCCCAUCAUUGCCGCCGCCCCAACCUACCACAGCCGCAUUAAGGCCGACGGCACCGCAAACCCCAACAUAAUGCUGGGACCCAUUGGCUAUGCUGUAAACGGGUGAGUGAAUGACGCCUAGCUUCUGAACACGCCGCAACGCAUUCAAGUGGCCUAGGGCAGGGAGGGCAUCAGACCAGUUGCCCUCCGGUACCAGGAAAUAAGGACACUUACCAUGGUACUUGCCCAACGCCCGCAUGCUGCUUGCAUGGUGCUCUCCUGGACUCACAGCAUCCCCAUCUUCAAUGGUAAGCUGGUCUGAGCCACCGGCGGUACCGGGGCCAGCUAGGGCCAGCAUUUGCACACGUGGCGUUUGCAGCAGCUGUCUGCAUGUACCGUACACGUGCGUGAAGGACUGCCUAUCAGCACCGAACAGUCUGAAUGCCGAUGCACCAUGGACGCUGCAAGCCUUGGGCCAGGCUCCUCUCCCAAACCCCAUGCUGCCCCGCCCUCGCUCUGCCGUACCACUCCCACGCCUCAUGCUGCACAUACCACUUCCUCCUGAGCCCUCUGCCCGGUGCUGCUGCCCCGCCUGCCACAGAUGCUGACGCCCUGGGCAGGGAUGCUAUUAUUUACGAGGGAGCCACACUUGAUAACUGCCGCGGCCACGCCGCUCCUGGCGGGCAGUACCACUACCAUAGCGAGCCCGGCAAAGGCUGCGUGUACGCGGACACUGCCGGUAAGCACUCGCCCCUGUACGGCAUCAUGCUGGACUCCAUCCCCAUCUACGGCGCGUACGGCGACAACGGCGUGGCCCCCACUGACCUGGACGAGUGCGGCGGCCACACGGAUGCCACCUACUCCUUCUACCACUACCACGUCACUGCGAACCUCGCCCCGCCUUACAUCACCCGCUGCUUCCGUGGCUGCAUGUCCACGAGCGUAAGUUUUGAUAACGUUUGUUGCCUGCGUCGCAUGGCGCAAUCGCGGUCGGGCAUCCCAGCUUCGCUUCUAGAACCCGUAUCCCUUGCACUUGCGGGGGGGCUGGGCAGUCUCCGGCGUGGGGGCGACGUAUUUCCAUGAUCGUCGGUGCCUGGGCUGGGUGCAAUUUUGUUUAUCAGGCCGCAACUACAUUAGACACUUGCUUUGCCUUUUCAUGUCCCAUAUACCCUUGCACUUGCGGCCUACUCCGCGUGAGACUCACCACGGCCCUCCGCGCGCCACACCUUCGUGCCUGCAGGCCGGCAGCUGCACCCCGGCUGCCACGCAGUACGACUACUCCCCGCUGGCCAUUACCUGGACGGCGCCCUUCCACGUGGCACACGAGGAUGAUGAAACCUCAAGUUCUGCCAGCGGCAGCAGCAGCGGCGGUGACAGUGGCACCUCCCCCGCUGCUAGCACCCCCGGACCGAAGCCCGCUGGCCCCCGCCCUGAGGGCAGCCCCGCUCCUGGCGCCAAGCCCGAGGGCAGCCCUGUGCGUGGCCCACAACCCGAGGACAGCGCCCCCGGCCCCCGGCCCGAGAACGGCCCUGCUCCUGGCCCUGAGCCCGGGGACAGCUCUGCGCGUAGCCCUGUGCCUGCAGGCGGUGCCCCCGGCCCCCGGCCUGAGGACGGCGGCGCUCCCGCAGGCGGCCCCGGCCCCAAGCCCUCGAUUGAGCCACGCAAGCCCGCUGCUUCUCCUAAGAUUAAGAGCCGCCCUUCUCCUCGGGCCCGGCCCAGCCCCCGGCCCGGCAAGCGCGGCCUCUCACGCCGGAUGAUUGAGGCAUAAGUUGUGUUGGACUUUGUGGACUGCUGCAAUACUUCAUGGGUGGGUUUUUGUGAUAUGGGAAGCUGAUGCUUCGGUCCGCAUCAUAGGUAGGCCACAUUGCACAUAUUUGCACACAUACACGCAUACACACUACCACAUCCUUUGUUCAUAUAAGGGUUCGCAUGUAGAGCACGCUCGGUACGACGACACGUAGCUCGAAGACAGCAAUGAUGCCAGCAUUUGACUGCCACGCAGUCGUAAUCGUGUGCAUGCGUUGUUGCACGGUUGUGGGCUGUUGCCCCACGCCAUGUUAGUUGAUGCUGUCGCACACAAGGUUGGGCACACCGCCGUACCCGUGUCAUGUGGGGCGGUUGUCGCCAGGUUUGGGGCAUUCAUUUCUCGCAGGGGUGCAUCUUGGGAUGGCGGCAUAGAUCAUACUUAUUGUUGCCAAACACGACGGCGAAUUGGUGGCCCGGGCGCGGCAGACUGGCAGAGGGAUUAGGCGCCCGAGCCAGGCGCACGCACGUUCCAGUUUCUGUGGGGCAAUCUAGCAGCGGCAGAACUUGCAUCAAUAAUACGUUACACUGGCACGUUCAGAAACAUAAGGGCGCACCGGCGCUCACAGCGUUUCACGAGGUUCAAGUUUUUGCACGGGCCUUCUGCAUCUGUAAGUUAUUCAACUUCGCAGGCCGUCCAAGCGCCACGCGCUGUGCUAUGUACUGGGCAAUUGCAGUGUCCUACUCCGUGCCUACUCCCAACAACCAGUAUAUACAGACCAAGAAUGAAUGCUCCUGCGAUGCAUGCAAUGCCCACGCACAAUGCACCGUGAAGUACGGCGUGGCGACUUAACAGGUGGCGGGCAGUGUGCGUGUUCAGUCAACCAGCAGCCAAACUACCGUGGCUCAGCACGUCACACGUCUACCCGGGGCCCCAAGCCUUGCCACGUCACUUUUCCAAGGUUUCAUCGCCUCAGCUCACGUGCUGUACGUCACCUACCCCCCUCUCCAACAACAACACGCCAUGCAAUGGGCGCAUCACGUGCGGCCGGGGCGGCCCACCCAGGCCACGCGACCUUUGAGCUGUUUCUCACAAAUGGACACGGAGCACGUGCACCUGCGGGGGGAGGGAGGCGGCACAGGGAGGCGGUGUGCCCGUCAUUCAGCGGGGAGGCAUGGCGAGGAACUGGAGUGGCAGGGGGCAGGGACCAAGUGCGCACACGAACGAAUGACCCAGACUCGCUUACAUUCAGAUGACUGCGGUCCACUCACCAGGAGUAGGAGGAUGCGUCGGAGUUGCGGCGGAUGGGCCCAGACAGCGGGUUGUGGUGGGCGACAGUGGGGUCGUCCUCGUUCGUCUCGUUGUCCACAGACUGCGCGUGCAGAUGUGUAGGGGGCCAUGCAGGCUAGUUUGCAUAUCGCAACCCAAAAUGCUGCGAUGUAAGUAUGUUACUGGAGAUGAUGCGGGGUGGCGGCAGCACAAGAUAUAAGCAGGCAGGAGGAUGACGAGGACUCAAGGAGGGAUCUCAGGCUGGACCGCCCUCCUCACCUGGAUGUCAACGCAGCACACCAUGUGGUCACUGGCCGAGGCGGGGAAGCAGUGGUCUGCACGACAUCGGGGGGAUUUGGGCGACACUGGGUUGAGCGCGGGCGUGCGGCGAGGUAUAGUACAGAAUACACUGGGCCCCGGCAGCGGCACGGCGGCACGCCCAACAGCCCCUGGUGCAACCCCAACACCCGUUGGGAGCCCAUUGAGCGCGCCUCCACCAGCAACCCCUCUUAUCAACGGAUGAAACAAUUUCAGCAGCGUCCUGGUGCCCCAGCGCAGCGCGUGGACCGCUGCCUCCUGCUGCUGGCUCGUCUCACCCGUCUCGUCCUGCCGCCAGCCAUGCGCGGCGCCAGGGUUCUUCAGGGUCCCGCAGCAGCGCUUGCCGCCGCGCUCCCAGUUACACGAGUAGUCUCCCUCCUCAGAGUCUGUCGCCUUCACCCCAAACUGUGCGGCAUGCGUGCGUGCAGGGGAGAACGGGGUAGCAGUGGUUGGUGUCUGCUGAGACAUGCCAGUGGAGGAUGAGCUCCGCAACUCCUUUACAAGCGCUUUCUAAGCUGUCACUCCCAUGUAGUAGCCUACAUACCUGUGCUGCGUACGGGCGGGCUAUGAGCGCGGAGAGCGCGAAGAGAAGGAGAGCGACGCGCAUGGUCAGUUGUGUGGUCGCAGCUCUUGUCUAUCGGCUAAUUUGAAUUAAAGCGGACGUAAUGCUUAGCGACAGCUAUGUCUUUUGGUAGCAGCGCCAACGAUGUCUGCCGUUCUAGGGGCCAACUCACCGUGGCGCUCGCCAGGGCCACAACUCAUGAAGGCCCCAUGCACAGCCCGUGAGCCCCUCCCGACCCCCCCGGUAACCCUUCCCGCCAGGAUGCUUCCUCCAGCAGCCAUGAUGAUUCCUGUACAGUUACACACUCGGUCUUCCCCUUUUCCGCAGCAUCACAAUCUUCCUCCGGAUGGCGUGCAGCAGCCCCAUUUAAACCACCGCAAUCACCAGAGCGAACCGCUGCCCGUCAAAAUCUGGAGCUGACUUGCUGGGCCGCCCAGUCGCAGCGGCUCUACCUCCGGCUCACGUGACUCCCCACACGACAAUUCCACCGCCCCGCACGCUACACACUGCUCUGCCCACCGGCCGCCUUGCUUCUGGUACGUCUCCCGGCGCCGCCUCAUGCAUGUCCACCCCGUGUCUGCGCGACUGCGCCUCGCACACAUAACUUCUCCGCCCCACACGCCCCACAGCACCGCGCUGCCCCUCUCCCCUCUACCUUCCCCUUCCCACUCUCCUCUCUCAACCCCAACUCCAACUCCGUCACCGCUCACUCCUCACGGCGCCUGGUUGCCGUCUAGCUGCAGCCCGCCCGCGGGGCUAUCCAUGGUGCGCAUCGUCUUGAGCUGGUCCGCACCCUCGAUGGUGAAGUUCAUGCGCUCCGCCUGCUCGCGCUUCUUGGCCUGCACCUUGUCGUUGAUGGCUGUAAGCAGGCGGUACAUGACGGCGGCGGUUGGCGCGCCGUCCUCCAGGUCCUUGCCGUAGCCCUCCAGCGUCACCACCACGUCCGCGUUCUCGUAGUACCUGCGGGAGCGUGGGAGUGAAUGGAGGAGGUGGAGGAGUGAGGACGAGGGGAGAAGAGGAGAAGGAGGAGGAGGGCGAGUGAGAGCGAGGGGAUCUGGGUAUGCCAGUUGUGUCCACGGGGGUUUUGGACUGUUGUACGUGGAAAUUGGUUUGUGAGUCGCUGGUGGUAUUGACGCCCCCACCCCCACCCCGCCUGCAAACUGCUGAUGUCCCGCGUUGCUGCGACCCUUCCCGCUUGAACUGCUCCGUCGACCCAAUCAGGUUGGCGUGGCUUUGACCGGACUGCGUUGCGGGCCAGCCCGCCGGCCCUCCGUCUUCAUCUGCCAGUGUGCCUCAUUCUCGCCCCCACGGCCCCGGACCCCACCGCCUCACUUGCGGCGGUCCUCCAGCAGCGCGUCCAGCUUGGUCUUGGCGACCUGCUGCAUGUCCGCCCCCUCCGGCGCGUCAGCUGCCAGCAGCGGCCGCUUCUCAAUGCCGUCCUUGGCCACACUGCACGGCCAUGGCGUGGUGAUGGCGGCGGUGGUGAGUCACGGCAAGGCAGUAGUCGUGAAAGGCGCACCCACCUUAAGGUCAUGGCUGUAAGGAUGCCCUCAGGCGCCCCGCACGGUUCCCACGGUUCACACGCACACAGAGGCCGCCACCCCGCUCCCUGCCCCCUGCCGCCUGCCCCCAGCCCCCCUGCCCCCAGCCCCCCAACCCCCCUGGCUCCUGCCGCCUGCCCCCCUGCCGCCUGCCCGCUCCGCUCUCACCGGCGUGCCAGCAGCUCCGUGUCUCCGUUGAGCCAGGCCACAAUGCCCAGGUGCAUGUAGCCCCAGUUCUGGGGCUUGAGCACGGCGCCGCCGCCCGUGGAGAUGACCAGGUUGCGGUAGGGCGACAGCUCCUUGAUGAUCUGUGAGUGCAGGCAGGUGGCAGAGAUUACAAGGUGAGAGGGUCGAUCCUGUGCGUGUAUGUGUGCGUCUGCAUGGGCGGGUGCUGACGCCGCACUCAGUACACAAGAGUCCACGUACACUGCAGCCCACCCCUUCCCAUCCCACCCCACGCACCCACAAAACCCGCAACCCUGGCCCCCCGUCUCGCAUGACGGCUAUUCGCCGCACGCCGCACCUGCGACUCGCACUGCCGGAAGUAGUCCUGCCCCUCCUCCGCGAAUAUCUGGCUGACGGGCUUCUUGUCGUGCGCCAACUCGAUCACCGAGUCGGUGUCAAAGAAGGCGUAUUUGAGUGUGUUGGCCAGCAUCUUGCCCACGGUGCUCUUGCCGCUGCCCAUCAUGCCCACCUGGAAAGGAGGGGUAGCGGGGUAGAGGGGUGCGUGGCGUUGGGAGGGGAGAGGGGUAAGAGGGGCAGGGGAUGCGGGGGGGAGGGUUGCCACGUUGGAAGGGUGGGGAGGCGCCCGGAAGGGGGAGCUAAGGCGGGUAAGGAGGCCAGGGAGUGCGUGCCGGCACGGCUCCGCGCUGGCGGGGAAACAUUUGCCCUCAGUGUGCCCCAACACGUGUACCGUACACACGCACAGGCUACGUCCGCCCAGGCGCUGAGAGCCGGCCGACACAAGUCCCCAGAUGGGGUCGUCCGACCUGCCGGUCGGCGCGCACACCCGCGCACCCAGCGCAUACCCCCGCUGCGACCGGUUAUCCCACUCAUGCCCCAAUCCCACUGACGCGCACGCGUCUGUCCCCACUCCCAUGCCGAACCGCAAUCCUGGCCUGGGCACCAAACUACAGCGGCCGGCCAUUUUCACACACCACCACACAAAACGAUUCCUAGUGCACUCGCCCCAUGCACGCCGCCCCCCGGGUUUGGGUUCACUCGGUUGGCUUGCUUCGGGUCCCGGAUUGAGCUACCCCCCUCCUCCCACCGCAACGCCGCGCCGAGCACUGGGCCCAGCAGUACAAGCUGCCACAUUGCUCCGGCGUCGGACCCACGACCACACAACCUUAUCAGCCCACCCAUCUCCCUGGCAACACAGCAGCACAGCAGCAACACGGCAGCACACGGCACUGCUGCUGCUGCUGCUGAGCCACCACCUCCCAUCGCGUCUUCCCCUCCCGGCCUGCGCCACCGCACAGCCUCCUCCGCCAGAGCAGCCUCCUCCCCCGCCUGCUCACCAGCCAGAUGUUGCAGCCGCGCAGGUCGGGCAGCAGCUGGUCCGUCACCUCCUUCACCUUGUCGCCCAACAGGUCGAAGUCCUCCUCCCAGGGGUAGGGGUGGCCGGGCGUCAGGCCAGUCAGGUCGGCCUGCUGCAGGGGGCCGGGGGCCGGGAGGAGUACGGGAGGCCGGGACUGCGUCAUACGCGACUAGGCCGGAGCGGACAUGUCCCUUAGAGGGAGUUUGCGCGUUGGGUGGGUGUCGGCGAUGUGGGUUGGACGCAAACAGGUGCAUGGGGGUGGCAGCAGGAGCCGAGGCAAGCGCAGGCGAGGCUAGGUGGUGCAACACUCGUGCCCCUGACCGACCUCAGCCCGCACGACGACCACGCGCGAGGGAGCCUCGACGCGUGCGUCCUGGCGCAGAACACGCUUGCUGCUGAAGUUGGCGCGGUGGGCCGUGAACGGCACUUGGCUCGCGACCGAGCGCAGGGCGGCCGAUGACCGCUGAACCUGGCCGGCCCGGGCCCCGCCAGCCAUGGGACGCUGCAUAGGCAUUGACAUUUUAGUGCGUCCUAACAAUAGACGUCAGGUCUGUCAAUAGUCCAGUGAAAAUCGCGCCCCAGCCAAAUUCAGUGCGAGACCACCCUGGUAAUGGUUAUAUGUGUGUUGAAUUGUAACUAAUUGACAAGUGCCGAACAAACAGCUGCACUUAACGAGUUUCCAUGCACACCGCAUUUCACCCGCUUGCGCCGGGUAAGUCGACUGCAUAGUGAGCCACUGUACAUAAAGUCAGCCAGCACACUACUUGUGAUGCAUAGAAGAGCAACAUGGGCUCCCGUUCUGUGGCGUCCGGGGGAUGCAUCCACUCUUCUUCUCAAACCUUCCAAACCUCACUUCGCGUCGCCCGGCCCAAACUUGUAGUGAGGGCUUCAACUGUAGAUGUAUUCACAGCACCGCAGGCACAAACGUGGAGUCCCGCGCUUAAACCGGCGGACAGCGCGACUCGUGCGGUGGAACGCUCGCUUCGCGAGUGGAUUACAGCUCAUGGAGGCUUCAUCCACACAAGCAUUCGGCUUACGGACAACGCUCCAUGCGGGUGCCGCGGCGUUGUUGCCUCGUCACCGCUUACCCGCGAAGACGUGGAAGACCCUAUCCUUGUGGUCCCGGAGGUGAGUACGCCAGGCCAUCACACCCGGCUACCCGGACAAGGGAGACAGCUUUCCACCCUGGAAACUGAAUGGAAACUGCAUGCCAACUGGCAGCUCAGCCCCACCACCAAGGCAGUCAAGCUGAGCUGCAGGCUCGAAGGCCAAACCCGGGUUGUCCUGCCGGCCUCCUGAUGUGCGCCUGGAGCCUUUCCUCCCACACAGUCACACACCGUAUCCCACGUCCCGCAGAACCUCUACCUGACCACCGACAACGCUCGCGCCUUUCUGCGGCCGCUGGACGAAAAGAUACAGCGCAGCAGCAGCAGCGGCAGCCGCUCCGCUCCAGCCUCCCAAGGCCCGGGUGCUGGCCUGCUCAGCGGCUUGAAGCUGCCGCUGUGGGGCGCGGGCGGUGCGCGCAGGCCCACUGACGCAAGCGGCAGCCAGGCCCUGCCGGCGGUGGCGCAGCUAGGGCUGCUGGUCGCGGUGGAGCGGGCGCGCGGCGACCAGAGCUUCUGGGCGCCCUACAUCCAGUCACUGCCGGCGGCGCCGUCCUGCGCCUGGGCGAUGCCGCCGCAGCAGCUAAAGGCGGCGCUGGUGGCGCUGGGGCCGACGGCGGAGGGCUGGGGGGCAGCGGUGGAGCGAGCGCGGGCUGGCGUGUACGGCAGGGCGGAGGCGGCUGUACGGAUGUACGGCCGACACCUUGAUGUGGAGCUGGACGUUGAGGACGUGGUGUGGGGCAUGGGGCAGGUGAGCUCGCGCGCGUCCUCAGCAUUCAGUGACCUUUAGCCAUCCCAACCAACCCAGAUGAGUAGGGUUGUGCCGCCCCUGAGAAUCAAAUUCCUUCUAAUGUUAGUUCUCCCUAUAACUAAUCUAGAACAGUAGGAUUAGCAAUAGAAGCUCGAGUCUAUCUCUUAGCCUGAUGACUUUUCCGGGCUGGCAUUUUACUGGGAUAGCCGCUCAUCUGGAUCCAGACGUUUGCAUGACUCGGUGGGACGGGAAACCGUGUGGGUGGGGUCGAACUGGGCUUCGUCGCCCCUGGUCUGGCGUGUCCGCGUGUGGCACGCCACCCAAACCCAACUUCCGCAUGAUAUGUUCGAUCAUACUGCCUAUUUCAGAGUGGCAGCGUACGUAGCGGCGCCCAGCUGCUUGUCGCCAUACUUUUAGGUUUUGGACUCGUUGGGCUUUCCCGGAGGGUCCGGCUUGUCAGCAUGCUGUGCCAUUGUUUGAUAACUAAUAGUUAUUUGACGUACGAGUGUUUGACACAGAAAGGAGUGAAAACCUCUGCUUUACCGCCAAUUUUGCAGCGACUGGGUCCAGAUUUCGGCACGUUCUACUGCGGAAACGCUCUACCCCUCCUCUGCAGAACUUCUCAAAACUACAUUAUAUUAAUGUAGAAUUGUUCUAGGCUAUAUUUCUAUUUCUCAGGGGCGGCACAACCCUACAGAUGAGCUGUUCAAGCUGUUCUGCUGUUACGGUACUGCGUUGGUGCAGGUUCUGUCGCGGGCGUACGGCCACGAGCCGGACCUAGGCCUGGCUCCCUUCAUCGACCUGUGCAACCACACGCUGGGAGCCCCACGACCCCGCGGCAUGACGCUCGAGGAAGCUCCGGAGGCAACUGGCGACCCGGUGCGAGAAGUGUCGUACGCGGUGGUUGAGAGCAGCCGGUACGGCGAGCCGUUGCCGUUGGCGGUUGGGGACGAGGUGUACGUCACAUACGCGGCGGACGGCGGGGACCCGCUGGCGGCGUUUUUGAACCUAGGGUUCGUGCCGCCGGAGAUAGUGCUGGAGGCGGGCAUGAGGGAGCCGCGGCGCCGCGGUCCCAUGUGCACAUAGGCAUUCCGGUUGUGGGGUUAUGUAGGGGUAAUAGGCUGGGCGACGGGUGUGUGAGUACUGGAGACGUGGCUGGAGAGCCAUUCAUGGGGGCGCAGCGGCGGCGUGAUUGGAGAGGCUGCUCAUGCGCGGGCUUGAGCUGCCGCAGCAGCUGGGGUGGUGGGCGUCCUCGUGGGCAAGCAUGGCGGCAACAGGUGAUUGAGGCGGCGUGGUUGAGGUGCGAGAGUGGGAAAGUAGAGAGGGGAUCGGAUCGAUGUUUGAGUGAGCGCAGUGGUGUGGUUAAUACACGUCCGUCACAGCAGUGGUACGGGAUACCGUCAUGCCAUGUUCGUGUGCACAGACGACCAUGUUGUACGAUGAUUUAGUAUCCGAAUUAAUGCUGUAGCAGCAAACGAACUAAAGCGCGGCACGUUCGUGCCAGAAUCAAGCGUCGUGGAGCAGGUGACAAUGAACUUGCGUGUCCCACAUGGAGAAAGGAGUGAACGCGGUGAUGAAGUAUGCUGGCAAUGAUUGAGUGGCGCUGAGAUGCGCAUGUGUGCUUGUGAGUCGUAAGGCGAAGGUGAGAUGUAGGGUGAGCAGAGGCGGCGCUGCUGCAGGAACUGGCCAUGUCGUCAAGAGCUGGUGCAGCUGCGAGCGCUUGAUUGAGGGAAAUGCGGAGAAGUGUGGACGAGAGUCGAGAGAGAAGUUGUGAGGUAUACAGGAACAGAGCGCGUGUGAUGAGAGUGGGGAGCUGCCUGGACUGGCAUGCAGCUGCUUGUGUGUGUUGGGAUUAAGGGCCCGCUCGCAGUCUUGACAUCCCCAUUGCCAUAUACCGUACACGUGCACGAUGACACGGCACACGUACCCGCCAUGCUGCAGACCGCCAUCCCGCUGGCAUGCGCGGUGCUGCUGGACCAGCCCCCGAUGUACGUGCUGGUCGCGUGGGCGGCGCGCAUGCCGGGUGCGUGGCGCAGCGCGGCGUGCGUGACUGACUCCCCGCCGUCCAGCGCCCCCCCUCCAACUACCCAACUUACGUCAAUGAACGUGUGCUCGCCCCAUGGGUCCCAUGCAUUGUAUAGGUAAGCUUUGUCUCCAUCACUCUAGGCACCAAUACACCAAUACACCCAUUGGUAGCUGCUCUGCUGCAGUCUGGCAGCUUCUCCAAUGCUUGUCGUAUAACUGCCCCUUGGUGGCAUAGGUAUUCAACAACAAGUCUGCGAGUCCAGCGUGGCACGUGCACAUCUUUCACCAGCCGCGCAGAAGUCCACUCUCAGUCGCGCCGCGCGCCAACAGCCACUCAGCGAUGCGCGCUCGACUGCAGCCCCGGUCGCAGCUUCCCUGCCGUCCGCCCGCGCAACUAUCCGCUCCCACUCUCGCAGCUACCCAACUCGCGUCACGUACCAUGCUGUCCAUGCACGUCCAGCCCUGGCACGCAGCCUCCCAGCUGCUCGUACAACUGCCAACUCCCACUCGCCGCUGCCCACCUACCAGCCCGACUCCUGUACGGCGGAGACGUGUGUGACGUACUCGAGCGAGUUAUUCGGCGGUUAGUCGGAGCAUUCCGAGAACCGCCACUUAUCUAAUUUUACCCGUGCAAAACGCAUCCGGCAGAAAGAAGAGGCACUUGCCGCAUGCUGCCAGCCAAUCAAGCUUGUCGCCACUCGAGCUCAUGCUUCCCUCAUGCCGCAGGCGUGAUCACGGUGUCGCGGCGCACAAUGGUGUCGCAAUAGCACAGCGCCUGUCGCUCACACGCACCCGCCGGCUGCAACUCCACCCGCCCAACCGCCUCAGCCACCUCAGUGCCACCGCCACCGCCAGCCGCCUCCUGCGCACACGGGCCCGCUGGCUGUUGACCCCGCGUGCUGCUUGACCCCACCACCACCACCGCCGCCGCCGCCGCCGCUUGUUCAGCUGCGGCCUUGCGGCCCUUGGGGCGCCGCCGUGAUGACGUGGCCAUGGCCAGCAGCCCUGGCCGGCGCUCGAUCACAGCUGACGCCGUUGUUGAAUUUGCCACGACGGCCUCCGGCGCCUCAUCGCCCGCCUCUUGUGCUGCAGGCUGCGGCUGCAGCUGCAGCAGCUGCUGCGGCGGCGGCGGUGGCUUGAUGUAGGGACAGAGGUCGGCCCCGGCCUCACGCUGCCACAGCCGCACCAGGCGUACGGCGGCGGUGCGGGCGCCCAUGAGGUUGCCGGCGCCGGGCCCCAGGCGCAGGGCGGCGUAGGCGCCCGCCACGAACACGUCCAGACCCUCACACCACCUGCGGGCCCAGGGUUGGGGCAGGGGCAGUUAGGGCAGGGGGCAGUUAGGGCACGUGGGCUGGAGUCUGGUCCGGUGGCGCGGCUGAGGCUUAUACGGGGGAUGAGCUCUCACAGUCACGCCGAUCCGAACACAGCACGGCGCGCACGCAAGCAAGAGUGCAAGACAGCAACACGACUGCGCACGCACCUGAGCUCGGGCGUGAGCUCCGGCAGCCCGCCGUGCAGCUCCACACGGCACUGCGCCUGCAGCCGCCGCAGCAGCGGGUCGCGACCCGCGUCCACCACACUGCCCGUGGCGCACCACACGUGGUCGGCAUGGAGCAGCAGCCCGCCCUCGCUGUCGUCGUCGUCACCGUCACCGUAGCGGCGGCAGGCGAGCCCGGGGGUGCCGCUGUUUUCGGCGGGCCCCUGGUGGCGCUGGGGGUACUGGGGGCGCUCCAGCGGGCGGGAAAGGUAGAGGUGCCAGCAGCCGGCGGCACGGUGCGGCGCCCAAGGUAGAGAGCCGUAGCCGCGCGCGCAAGCCGCCGCAGCCGUGCCGGCCCCUCUGCCGCAGGUGCUGGGACUGCGAGGGCUGCCGCAGCUGCCGCGGCUGCUGGGGGUGCGAGGGCUGCAGUCAUCCUCGCUGGCGCUGCUACUGCUGCAGUCGCUGCCGUCGUCGCCGCUGCCGCUGCUUCUGCCGCUGCUGCCGGUGCUCCGCGCGCCUGCUGUCGGCGGCACAAACCCGCCCGGCGGCACGCAGCAGCACUCGCUCCAAUCCGCCGCCUCCACCUCCACCUCUUCCUCCACCCUCAACACGCCCUUGGCCUGCAGAGCCCGCAGCACCGCCGCCGCCUCCGGCGUGGUGCUGCCGCCGCCCACUGCCGCCCGCAGCGCCGCCAGCCGGGCCGCCGGGCCGCCCGCCAGCCGCCCAAAGUCGUGCAGGUGCGCCUGGCGCAUGCGGCCCAGCCAGUGCACAUCCACAUCGAACUGCUUCACCUGUGUUGCACACGUUGGUGGAUGGGGGAUCGGAGACUUGGGUCGGGGGCUUGGGGUCCGGGGCUUGGGUGUGAGGCUAUUGUAUGCAUGCAUGUGCGGCAGUGUACGCAAGGCAGCAGUAAUGGAAUUGCGGAGGAAUGCGAUGGGCGAGCGCUGAGCGCGGCGGCGGAGAGUGAAGGCGUGUGUACAGGUGGUCAAGCAGGGCGCUGGCUUGAGUGUGGGCGAGGCGACACGCAUGCGUGUCCCUGCUAGAUGGCCGAUAGCGCACGACGCACAUAUCCUGUCCUGUGCCCACCCACGCACCUGCAGUUUGCGGCGCACCAGCAUGACCACGUCGGUACUGCCGUGCUGUGCCGCCAGCGCCACCAGCUGAGCCGCCGUCAGACCGCCGCCCACCACCACCACGCGCUGGCCCGCAAGGCUGCGGCAGCUGCUGUCAGCGCCGCCGCUGCAGCCUCGGCCGCCCGCAGCAGCGGCGGAGGCAGCGGCGCCACAGUCGUUGUCAGCGCCCGAGUGUGCCAGCGCGCGCGGCUUGCGGCAGGAGAAGCAGCGGGCCACUUCCCAGGCGUGGAGCAUGCGGCCAGCCCAGGGCGGGGGCGGGGCGGCUGCAGAUUCCACCGCCUUCACCAGUGCUGCCGCCGCCGGCUCGCUGUGAAGCGCGGCGGCGGGCUCAGCUGCUGCCAGCAGAUGAACCGGUUGCUGGGCGUCACCGUAGGGCCCAGACUGCGUGAAAUUAUCGGGCGCAUUGUCUGAAUGCAGGUACUGUGGCUUGGGUUGUGCCAGGCAGACCUUGUUGGGGCCGGGCAGCUGUGAGGGCGGCUGCGGCUCAACGGCAUCGGCGGGCGCUGCCUCAUCAGCAGUGUCACCCACAGCCGUUCUUAUCAUGUCAGUAGGCAUGCACGUUGCGCUGGACGUGCUGCUGGCAUGCACUGGCACGGGUGUGGGCGGCGUGGGCGCCACGACCCAGCCGUGAGCGAAGGGCGGCAGACGGGGCACGUUGGUUGAGCCCACCGCCAGCAGCACACGCCGCGCCGCCACCUGGCUGCCGUCACUGAGCGUGGCCACGCAGUGCGAGUAGCGGGGCGGGGCGGUGCCCGCGGAGGAGGAGGUGGAGGUGGAGGUGGAGGUGGUGGAGGCUGCGGCCGGCUCGCAGUAGGGCACCGGCGUGAGCUGCAGCACCUGCGGCAUGGGGGGUGGCAGGGAGACACGGAUCGGUCACCAGUCCGGCGUCCUCGCUCGAUCGUAGCAUCAGUCAGCCUGGCUGCUACGGCCCCCCGCCUCACACUAGCAACGCCCGACCGCAGGGCCACAACACCCUGGCCUAUCCUCUCCAUCCACUGAUGUGGGUUUGGGUCCGCCAUCCAACCCAACCCCAACAACCCAGGCCCUGCCCCAGCCCAACGGAGCUGCUCUGGACUGCUCCUUCCACCUGCUGCUACGCUGCCCAAGCCCGCCCGACUACCUAUGGUGAUGUGCCACAGCUCGCAUAUGCGGCUGCAGUUUCCCCUUGCAGCGCGACUGUUUCCUUACGGGAUUGGUUCAAAGUUAACCCCAGCCCAACCAGCCUGUCGGCCCGGGCCGCUACUUGCCUUGGCCCGCCGCACCGCCCCCGGGCUGUCCAGGCAGUAGCGCCGCACCACAGCGCCCACAAAGUCACGGAAGAGUGAGGUGCCGGGCAGGUCGAAGGGGCCGCGGAAGUCGGCGCUCUUACCCAUUACCUGGUGCGUGUGUGAAUGUGGGCAGGUGGGUGCGUGGAAGUAUUUAGUAGGCAUGCGUGUGUGCAGGUGUGGGCAGGUGUGGGUUGCGUUGCUGCCGUCACGGAUGCCUCCGCCCGCAGCCGCCUGCCUUUUACCGAUGCGCAUACAUGCUUCCUCCACCUAGCGCUAGCUUGACGCAGGAGUCUUCACCCCAUCCCGGCCCCGGCCCCAGCAGCCCCAUCAAGCCCCACCCGUGCAUCCGUACCUCCAUGGGCCGCAGCUCGCAGCAGCGGCGGCGCUGCUCCGCCCACAUCUCCAGGCUGUAGCUGCUGCUGGGAUCGGGGUGCACGCUGCUGGGGGAGCGCAGGUGCGCAAUGCCCAGGCCCGCGAACUGCGAGCAGGUGCGGUAGCCACGCGAAGGGGGGGUGUUAGUGCUGCUGGCGUCGGCGCAGGUGCGGUGUGGCCGUGUGGGUUCAGGACACGUCAGGGUCCAAGCGAGCAGCACCCCAACCCCCCCUACCACCGUACCGCCGUACACACCUGCUCGUCCCACCUCGACAUCCAGCUGCCGCGCUCGUCCACGAUGAGCACCCGCUCCCGCAGCCAGCGCACCAGCCGGUCACGGCGCGGGCCGCAGCCAGCCUGGUGCUGCUGGGCUCGCUGCAGGCUGGCCUUGGGCUUCACCUCGCGGCGGUAGCCGUCCACCGAAUCGUCAGGGUCCUGAUGAGAAUUACAAGGGAUUUGGGGGCUUGAGAGAGGAUUGUUGCGAAAGGGGCCGUCGGGCUCCUUUCAGGCGAGGCGGGCCCAGACUGGCAAUGUCGAGGGCGCACCUCUUCAAGCAGGCGACACAGCACGCUCAGCGCCGCGGGCCCAGCGCCGACUAUAAGAAGCUCGUACAUCAUGGAAUGUUCGCUCGAGCUGUCAGGGCCAGUGAAGAGGCCAACGCGGUUGCGGGCAGAUGGUCACAGCGCCAUGGUUUAAGCUCAAAUCAACACUAAUGAAGCUGACAAGGUAUACCAGGGUUGACCAUAUGGCAGAUUUCUGCUUAUGAUAGCCUAUAAUUGGGACCGGGUUGGAGGACUUGCCUCGGUACCAACGGCCCAACGACCUCCAUACGACCGACAUUUACGGCCUCGGCAGCGAGCGCCCAAAAAUAAAAACGCGCAAGACGUGCGCUUGUAUCAAAUGCAUACCAAUCGCCUGCCUAUCGCCUGCCGCUGUCGUCAGGCUGCCAAGGAAACUGCACACUGCUCCUUCCCUCCCCGAUAACAGAACUCCCGGCGUUCGUCCCCUUCCCCUCCUUUGCCCCACAUCAUCCUGCAGUAUGAGCAGCCGCCUUCCCUUGCGUCCACAGGAGCGGAAGUCACUUGCCUUUGCCGGCCGAAGCAGUCCCCAUCCGUUGAUUCCAUAAAGCCCAUAAGCAUCCACUAUGCGCCGCUUAAGCUUGACAUUUGCCUCACUUGACUUGACCCUCUGCCUCGCGCUUCUAGUUGUGAGACCAGCGCAAAGAUGCCGCGACCCCGCAUUCUGAUUUCUAACGAUGACGGGAUCAAUGCCCCGGGCAUUAAGGCGCUUGUUGCAGAACUAGUGAAGGUAAUGAAUUGACGUUCAGACGCAGUCGGUCAAGGGGGCCGUUGCCGAUCGAGAAUAGGAGGCGCCAAAUUCUGGGUCAGAUAAUUGAGCUGCGAAUUCUGUUCAGAGUAACCAUGGAUCAGCGCAGCAAACAUAAUCCAUUGCUGGUUGGCGGCGUUAGGCUCCUCCCCGGGCAGUGUCCCUGGCCACGCCCUGUGGUUUGGCGGGCAUUGCCCAAGCUCCUUCACCCGCGACCCUCUGCCUCCCUUCAGGCGGACUUUGCGGACGUGUACGUGUGCGCGCCCUCGGGCGAGCGCUCCGCGCAGUCGCACGCCAUCACCCUGGGCCGCUACCUCAGCUGCGUGCCCACCGAGCCCACCAGUGAGCAGCAGGCGGCGAGAGGGGCGCGGGGACGGCGGGAAAGGGAGCGCAAAGCCGCUGGAUGGAACCCGGGCCUGUGCAUGCUAUGGGUAGCGAGGCAGCCCGCUGCGGGAUUCUAGGAUCAGAUUAGGUGUGCGCAGGCCUCCCGUGGUGUGUACGGGGAUCCCAGUUCUUGAGCCGACCGCCUUCCGUUCUCGGGGACACUGCCAGACACAUGCCUUCUGGGCCUGCCCGCCCCUGCGCCCUCCAGCCGCGGGUGUGGUGGAGUCGUACGCGGUGGACGGCACGCCCGCGGACAGUGUCAUGCUGGCGCUGUGCAGCCCCGUGUUCCAGGUGGGGGUGGGGGGUGGGGGGCUAGGAGUUGGUGGGGGUGAAGGGUGGGGGUUAACUUUGAACCAAUCCCGUGUAAGUAAACAGUCGCGCUGCAACGAGAAACUGCAGCUGCAUGAAGGGUGGGGGUUGCAAGGUCAAAACAUUGGGAACAGAAUACCAGGAGAGUGGGGGGUAGGCCGUGGGGGUAGGCCGCGGGUUGGUGUGUGUUUGGGGCUGGGAAGGGGGCGCUAGUAGGACUGGAUGAAGAAGGGGUGAGAAGGAGGCGAAUGCUCGUGGAAGUGGGUUGGCGAGGGAUACGCGAACGCGCAACGACACAUUGCAGUCAGCCCUAUUUGGCCUGCUUACGUGCCACUCGCUCGCUUGGCCAGGACGUGUCAUUCGACCUGAUGAUUAGCGGCAUCAACCGGGGCGACAACGCCGGAUUGCAUGUCAUCUACAGUGGGACAGUGGGCGCGGCGCGCGAGGCGGCAUGCAAGGUGCGAGGUGGCGGAGCGGACCGGCGGACUAGGAUGGCCAGCCAGGCGGUGGGGGGGGGAUACGGCCGGGUGACUGGGGAGUGGGGACGGGCGCUCCCGGGGCCGUCAGAUGCAUGGUGCCACAGUGUCAGACCCGCCCUUCUUGGAGAUGCAACCAUAUGCCAUACAGAGCCCAUGCCUCGCCAACGCCUUGCCAAACACGCUGUCAACCCCCAGUUUCGAUCAACCUAUUUCCCCCACACGCGCGGGGUAUCUAACAGUGUCGAACCCGUCCCACUCUGCUCUCCCAACAUGCACGCACAACCCUCUCCCUUGUGCCUUCCUACCACACACACACACACACACACCUGCACACGCACACACACACACACACAUUUUUUCCUUGUGCUCUUUAACACACACAUAUUUUGCUCUUUAAUACGCACCUACACACCCACGCACGCACGCAGGGCAUCCCCGCCAUGGCACUUUCACUGGACAACCACCUGGCGCGCAAGACGGACGACUACGCGGUGUCCGCCAGCCUGGCGGUGGCGCUCGCCAAGGCGGCCCUGGGGGUGCUGCCGGGGCAGGAGGCGGGCGGCCGUGCGCCGGCGGCCUCGCUCAAGGGCGUGGUCAUCAACGUCAACUUCCCCAUCGCGCAGGGCCAGAUGCUUCAGGGGUUGUUCCUGGCGCGCCAGGUGCGGGCGGCUGUGGCAGGAGGUGGCAGGAGCGGGAGGUGGCAGUGGCAGAAGGUGGCAGUAGCUGGAGGCGGCGGCGGGCUGAAGGAGUCGGGCCCGUCUUAGUGGCGGGUGUAGUGGCGGCAAAAGCGGCAGCGGAGACCGGGAUCUUGCAUUGUGGGUGAACGGGCAGGGAGGCCUCCUGGGGCAGGACGCACCUGUGGCGGCGCGGAGCGGAAGGGGUGUGGGAGUGCGUCUCUCCCCGCCUUCCUCCUGAUGCACCCGCCCACCCUUAUUCGCUAUCUCUCCUACCUCCCCUGCCCGCCUUGCCCCGCCUCCCCCCUCUCCGCCCUGUCCUGCCCUGCCCUGCUUCACCCUGCCCCCGGCCCCGCCUCCGGCCCUGCCCGCCCUGCAGAGUUUGGCGUGUGUGUUCCCUGCCUUCAAGGAGGUGACCGAGGCGCCCGGCCCGCACCUGGCUGAGAUCGACGAGCACACGCCCAACAGCCGCGUGUUCCGCAACUAUGCCGGCAUGGUGCAGGAGUGAGUGGCGGUGUGUGUGUGUGUGUGUGUGUGUGUGUGCGUUACCUAAAAGCAUACAGAAGCCCGCCCAGACGGGGCAGGAGUUACUUGUGUAGUUGUGUGUGUGUGUGUGUGUGUGUGUGUGUGUGUGUUAGGGGAGGGAAAGGGGAACUGGCACAUACUGUGUCCGCGCUCAUGCGUGCGUGGCGUGACUCGAGCGGGGAGGAGCGGCGGAUGGCAAGGGACAGGGGCGCAGUGGUUGCAAUGUGGAGGUUGACGAGUGCGGGAUCAUCGGGCAUCAAUGGCCGCUGCGCAGCGGCUGCUGCAUCAUGGACAUUCUGUGUUAUGGAGAUUUCUGUUGUCCUGACAGUUAUGUGCCUGCUGGCCCCACACACACACUCACGCGCACAGGGACCAAGAGGAGGGCAAUGACGCGUACGCGCUCAAGAACGGCUGGGUGGCUGUCACGCCGCUGAGCUUGCUUUCGCACAUCCAGCUGGGACAGGUGCGUGGCCCGUGUUUUUGUUUAUUCGGUACCGUACGUGCAUGUGUGUGUGUGCGUAAUAAACGAAACGAAAGCCCGCUCAGACGUGUGCGUGUGCGCGCGUGCGGUUUGCAAGGUGCUACUCACACUCCCGCGCAUCCCUGCUAUGUACCACCCCUCAACCCUUUGCCGCCACGGCUGCUGCCGCCGUGGCUUGCUGGCUUGCAGGACCCCCGCGCGGAGAACGUGGUGAACGCCGUGUCUCAGAUCGUCACCCGGGCGGCGGCGGAGGCUGGUCUCUCGACCGGCGGUAUUCCCGCCAAGCUCUGAACGUCAGGUGUCGGUGCAAAUGCCGAUUGGAGCCAGGUUGCGGCACAACGACCAAAUGCCGUGGCGUGUGUCGAUGACCAGGCCUGUCUGGCGCUCGCGGCGGUGGCAUAGUAGGCGGUAGGCGGAGUAAAGCUAUCUCGCGCGAGGGAGCCCAAUAGCUAAAUUGCGGUGGCACUUGCAUGGUGACUGUAUUAGGACAUUCGGAUCUCGGGAUGUGUGUCUCGGACGGGGCACAGAGACUACACUAUGGCGUGGCGUGGCGGGCGGGCCUCUCAUGCCCGCUCCGCAGCUGGGUGCCGGCGUUGACGCUACAGAUGGAGCGGCUGCGAGUGCUUCCCUGAGACGAAGCAUUGUGCGCCGGCCAGUGAGCUUCUGUGCAAGCUGCCGCGAUGAUGGGCCAUUCCGUACACUGUCGGCUGUUGUGGUCCAUUUCCUGGGGGGAAAGGCUGCUGGAAAAGCAGCAGCAGGCAUACGGGGGGAAGGGGCAGGGCUCCUUCCGCACCAAAACAUGAGCAGCAACAGGGCUACUGUGUCAGGCGCUACGCAGCAUUCUCAAUAACAUCAUCUGGGGGCUCUGUGCAGCCGUGCAUGGUGGUUGCCAGCACGCCGAGGUGCACCCCAGUGGGACAGGGACACGGGCAGACAGGGUUAGGGAUAGAGGCUGCUAAGUGGAGGGACGGUACGCUUGACAACGGCAGGGUGAGGGAUUAGGCCAGAACAUGAUUGGGGACAGAGCUUGCAACGGGGCAGACGGAACGUGAUUGCCGGCGGCGAGGCGGGGCCAUGGACGGGGCUACGGGCAGGGCGACGCCACGGUUACUCGCACUGCCCAGCCGUUCACCUGUGCUGACAUGCAUGGCAGUCUGGCAGACCUCACGCAAGACCACUGGAUGAGGCGUGGCCGUGUGGGGCUCGUCGUCGCACUCAGCUGUUGGCAGGCCCCCGCUAGUUGCCCUGUGUCCGCCCUCUUCGGUGCUCAGCCUGACCAAGGCCUUGGGGGCGCCGGCAACCACAAACCCAACUGAGGCUGUAUACUUGGACGCAACCCAUCCGUGGCCAGGUUUCUAUCGACGUCCUCCGACAGUGAAGGGUUCCGCAAAACCGCCUCACCGACAUGUGAGACAUGCGACAUGUGCCCUCAGGUCUCUCAGCCCCUGUGCUCCUGGAGCGCUACGUUAUGCGCAGCAUGACCAUCGCAGCUACUCAAGAAAACAAAAGACCAUAAGCUGUGAGCCGUUGACUGAGUUGACCGUCGCGAAACAGCGUCCUUUCUCAGCAAGCCUUGCCAGCCGAACCCGAAUUUAUUUACCUUCACGGCAAUACACCAUGUACGUUUUGAAUGCCUGCAAUCGGGUUUCGGCCUCGCCCUGGGCCUGCUAAGAAAUUCACAACUCCCCGCGAGAAUGCUGGCCGUGCACUCAAUUAAAUAUGCUCAUGCAAGUAAGCUGAUUACAUGCAUAUUUGAGGAGCGGGGCGGGGCCAUUCCUCCAGGAAAUGGGGAACUCCUACCACAACCUCCUACAAUGUACGGAAUGGCCCAUCGCCGCGGGCAGCUUGCACUUAAGCUUGCCGGCCGGCGCGCACAGAUUCACCUUCAGGCAAGCACUCGCAGCCGCUCCAUCUGUAGCGUCGACCUUUCAGAACCACUCCAAAACAAUGGCCACUAUCUCGUCGAUGCGCGUUGGCGCUGCUUCCCGCGUGGUCGUCUCUGGCCGCGUGAAGGUGAGGCACUUGAUCGCACUUCUUCUUCAGUAGUGUCAAGGCGGCAGGUUCAUGGCGCGGCUUGAUAGGCGACCAGAGCGACUUGCAAGCUUGGCCUCGGCGCAAAUGCCGUUACACGACCGCGCUUGCUUGGCUUCGCGCGCCGAGCAGCGCAGCUGCAUGGCAAUGGUUGUUAUGAUCAUAGUCUCCACCACGCCUUGCUCUUCAGCCUUUCUGAUGCGACUGUUACUGUCCUUCGCGCGCCCUUGCAGACCGUGAAGGUCGCCGCCCGCGGCAGCUGGCGCGAGUCUUCCACUGCCACCGUGCAGGCCAGGUGAGCACACUUCUGCAGCUAUGAGAUGCAUCUGGGUCCAGCUUAAAGCGGCUCGCGUUGUGUGGCGCGCCGCGAUCCCUUAUCCGCUCGCCUGCCAGCCGGGCCUUUUCGCACUUGUUUCCUAAGUCAAGUUCGAACCUGCAGCUGGCUGUGCAUAUCUUGCUAAGUGAUAGCGCGGUUGUACGCGGUUUGAGUACGCUGCUCAACUGGUGUACUGACACGUUUGCUUGCCGUUUCCCCUGGUGCCCCUUCGCCCCUGCAGCCGCGCCUCGUCGGCCACCAACCGCGUGAGCCCCACCCGCUCCGUCCUGCCCGCCAACUGGCGCCAGGAGCUGGAGAGCCUGCGCAACGGCAACGGCUCCUCCUCGGCUGCCUCGUCGGCCCCCGCCCCGGCCCGCUCCUCGUCGGCCAGCUGGCGCGACGCCGCCCCGGCCUCGUCGGCCCCUGCCCGCUCCAGCUCUGCCUCCAAGAAGGCCGUGACCCCGUCGCGCAGCGCCCUGCCCUCCAACUGGAAGCAGGAGCUGGAGAGCCUGCGCAGCAGCUCCCCCGCCCCCGCCUCGUCGGCCCCCGCCCCGGCCCGCUCCUCGUCGGCCAGCUGGCGUGAUGCCGCCCCGGCCUCGUCGGCCCCCGCCCGCUCCAGCUCCUCCAAGAAGGCUGUGACCCCGUCGCGCAGCGCCCUGCCCUCCAACUGGAAGCAGGAGCUGGAGAGCCUGCGCAGCAGCUCCCCCGCCCCCGCCUCGUCGGCCCCUGCCCCGGCCCGCUCCUCGUCGGCCAGCUGGCGUGACGCCGCCCCGGCCUCGUCGGCCCCUGCCCGCUCCAGCUCUGCCUCCAAGAAGGCCGUGACCCCGUCGCGCAGCGCCCUGCCCUCCAACUGGAAGCAGGAGCUGGAGAGCCUGCGCAGCAACUCCCCUGCCCCCGCCUCGUCGGCCCCUGCCCCGGCCCGCUCCUCGUCGGCCAGCUGGCGUGACGCCCCCGCCUCGAGCUCCAGCUCGAGCGCCGACAAGGCCGGCACCAACCCCUGGACUGGCAAGUCCAAGCCCGAGAUCAAGCGCACCGCCCUGCCCGCUGACUGGCGCAAGGGCCUGUAAGCAGCUUGCCUAACCAGCAGCUGGCUUAAAGCAUGAUGCCUUGGUACGCGUGUGUUAUGUACAACACUAAUGUACAUCACUAGAGCGCGUUAACUAGCGGCGUGGGUUCAUGUUGGAGAGAGAAGAGACUGUGCAGCAGGAGGGUCGGGGGAACCGCGGGUACCUGUGCGGCAUGUUAGCGCCGGGUCUUCAGUUUUUGUUGCGUUCCGUGGGUGUUUGCGUGGUGCAUGCCACACAGAUGUGAGUUCGUGAGUUCUGAUAUGUCUGGUUGCAAACCUGAGGUGCGGAGGAACACAUGCGUUCCAUACUCGCCCUCAAAUUUUGGUUGAGACGUGAGAGGGUGCCUGCAGAGCGUGCGGGUGCCUAAUCCGGAGCGGCGCAGCAGAGCCCUGCCGCCGCGCACUUCAUUCAGUGGAGUGACUAACUUGCACGACUGCUUUUGGGAGCGCGGGCAAGGAGGGCUUAGAGAGGAGAGAACAAGUAGCACUGCCGAUAGGUGAUGGAUGUACACAAGCAUUAGAGGAUGGAUCAAUCGAACGAUGCAAAAAGAGGUGCUGCGGCUGUCAACCGGCACAGCGCUCGAAAACCCUCGUGUGUAAGCAACGAGCGAGACUUUCUGUGGCUCUGGCAGUGUCUCAUGCCCAUGAUGCACUGCGUCU